rnacentral:rRNA from 1 species
UACGGGGGGGGGCAAGCGUUGUUCGGAAUUACUGGGCGUAAAGGGCGCGUAGGCGGUCAGACCAAGUCGAGUGUGAAAUUCCAGGGCUUAACUCUGGCGCGCUCGCUCGAUACUGGUCGGCUAGAGUGUGGAAGAGGAUGCUGGAAUUCCCCGGUGUAGCGGUGAAAUGCGUAGAUAUCUGGAGGAACACCGGUGGCGAAGGCGGCAUCCUGGACCAAUUCUGACGCUGAGGAGCGAAAGCCAGGGGAGCAAACGGG